ACUCUAAGUCCUUCACCGUUUCAAAGAAGCAAACUCCUAACAGAGAACUCAUGAGAAAUAUGAAGCUGCCCACAUCAACGGCUUCCUCCAGCUCCAUGAGGAUCUCCACUUAAAAUGCGAGAAUGGAAAGGAGCUGAGGCCAAACUCACUGCCAGGCAGCUCACUGACUAGGGAGUGUGUUCACUGUGGCAGUGAAGCCCUACCUUGAACACAGAAUGGGCUCCAACACCCAUCUCCCAGGCAUUCUCUGCAUUGAUGCUGGUAACGUGUUGACUCCAUCAUUACCGGGACAGUCACAAUGCUGAUUACUGGCAGCUGGGGAUGGAGCAGCUCGUCUCAGACUGUGUAACCUAUUGUUUCUAAAGAGCUUCCAGCUGCAGAAGCCUCCAAGCUCUUGGGCCAGCUGUGGAUUCUUUGCUGAGAUGGAGGUGUAACCGAGGAAGGGGCCUGAGAAGUAAGAAGGACGGAAAAUGAAAGCAAAGAGUUUGGAUGACCCGGGCCAUACACAGUGGCCAUGGAGCAGGAGACCAUCUUCCCUGAGGGAUGAGCCGAGGACUUGGCACUCCCCUGACCAUAAAUGGCUUGGCCAGGGCCCUCUUGGAGCCACCUCUUGCCCUGUCACCCUUGCUCUCCCAGCUGGAUGUUACUACAAAUGCGAGACACAAGCCAAUAACGCUAGCUAGAAAGGAGCUUGCCGAGGGCAGUGUUUGCAGAAGGUUCUCGGGAGGCUGUCGGAAAUGAGUUUUUCACUGAACUUUACACUGCCAGCCAACACGGUAAGUACAGCAGUCCCCGUCCACCAGGCAAGUCUGCAAAGAUCAAUGCGGGGUUUACGCUGAGCCUCCAGAACGCCCGCACACGAGCCUCAUGCGGGGGCAUCAGUGACACAGGUUGGCAAAGGCACUUAUGAAUGGUGGUGGGGAGGGGGUGCGGAGAGAAGUUUUUCCAAUUAUAAAAAUUAUAAAUAUACAUUUUGAAAAAGAAAAUAGCAAAAAACCAAAACACCUAAAUUCCCACGAGCAAAAAACAUUGGUGUCACUCCUUCCCCUCCUGUUUGACUCUUCAUAAAUUUUGACUUUUGUUGUCUUUGUACCAUUAUAUUCUCACUCUACAUAUAAUUUUAUAUGGUAAAUAUUUUCUAUCAACCUUUAUAACCAUAUCUGAGGAUGGUCACAUAAUAUUUCUUCAAGUGAAUUAUUUUUAAUUGAUUAAUCACAAUUAGAAAUAAGUUUCUGAUAAACAUAGGUAUAGAUAAAUCUUUGUCUGCCCUAAGAUGAUUUCCUUAGUACGUAGUCUAACAGGAGAAUUAUCAGGUCAACAAGAAUGAACAUUUUAUGGCUCUUGAUUGUGACGUUUAGUUGCAAGUCAACACAGAGCUUUUCAGUUGGUGGUGGCGGACAGUUUCAAUCCAGAGUUGGAUUGAGUGAUUUCAAUCCAUCUUCUGUUCUCACGUUGCGUAGAGAUAACAGCCAGAGUUGUUUUCUGACCAGGAGCACUGCUGUGAUUGAGCUGGGCAUUUUCCUGGCCGAGUUUUUUAGUGAGUUUGGCUGUGCCAAUUUUUCUAGUAAGUCAUGUGGUUAUUCAGAGAGAAUAAGCUGAAUCUCCCUGCCAGGAGGAUGCCCAAGCCAGAGCUCAUGGUUCCUGUAACACGGGCCGUAGUUCUGGAGGGAAGCAGAAAGGUAGAACCUUGUGGCUCCCUAUCGGCCUUCCGGUGCCUGCCACUGACUGCCGUGGACGUCUGUCCCCGACUGCCUGGCACCUGCACCACCUCCUGGGGGGCCCAGCCUUCUGAACCUCCCUGCUCCAGCCUCUGCCUGUCUGCUGUCUGCAGACCAAUUCCCCUAUCCCUCUCCUUAUCUGUCAAAACCUUAAUAUGGUCACUGCUGGAACUUCCUCCCUGGCUGCUCGAAGACAACAGGUCUGUAGAGACCCCAGGUUCUGUCUUAUCCUGGCUUGGCCCAUCCUGAGAAGGCCACUCAGAAAAGCAACAGGCCAUUGCUUGAGGCGGUGGAGGUGAGUGGGGUGAAGGGGAGGCCCUUGUGAUGCUGGUCCUCACCUUGUGGAGCAUUUCCUUGGUUAACAGCCUAUUUCUCUGGGAACUGUCCCCUCCACCCUUUGAACCUAUGCAGGGCAGCCAACCAUCCCGGACUGCCUGGGACUGUCUGGUUUUAGCACUGAACGUCCUGCAUCCUGGGCAACCUCUCUGGAAAACCAGGACACUUGGUCACCCUGCCUGGCAGUUAUGUUCUACCACAGGACAUUCCCUGUUGGUGCAGCUGAAUGACGGGGAGUGCCAGCGCCCCAGGAAGUGGGGGAGAGGUGAUGCCCGGCUCAUCAGAGUCCAGCCUCUCUGCAGGGGGUUUGGAACAGGGCCACAUAUGCAAGUCAGUCUCUGCUGGGCCACACUGAAGUGUCGAGUACAAAGGCUGGGUUGGGGUGCUGCAGCUGGUCAUGGAAGGCAGUGUAGCACAGUGGUUAAGGGAGCCACACCACUCAGCAUCCGCCACUUAGGGCCGUGUGAUCUCACAUGAGUUACUUCACUUCUCUGGGCCUCGCUCUUCUCAUCUGUAAAAUGGGGAUCACUAUAGUCCUGCCUCACUGGCUGUUGUGAAGAAUAAAUGAGCCGGUAGCAGGAAAAGUACUUGAACAGCCUGGCACAUGGUAUGUUCUCCAUAAUUGUUAGCUGGUACGAUUAGCAAGUGUUCACAAGGGCAGAAAAGUCCAUCUGGAGAGAGAAAGAAGAGCACAGGGAAAGGCCAUGCUGCCCAGGAGAGAAGGAGAGCCCCCGGGAGCAGGGGCUUUGCUCCUGACAGGUUCCCAGGUCCUAGCUCCAUGAGAUGCUGGAUUCCCGCUGCCCUCGGGCUCCACGAGGCACCCCGUGUCCUCAGAGUUAACUCCUUUGUGUUUUGGCCAAAGCCAGCCUAAGUGAAUUUCUGAAGUCUGAAGACAAAACCUCUUUCCCAAAACCGUGUUCGACUCUUCCGCCCCUUGAGAAAUAGAACAAUUUAGGCAAAAGGCAGCAUUAAGGUAAUGUGGGGGGUGGGGUGAGACCGCGUUUAGGUAAAAGUGUAGCCUCUUAAGUACCAAGCGUCAGAGCCUCGUAAUGGAACCCUCCUUUGAUGGGAGCCCUCUGGGAAAGAGGCCCAGGCUUGGAAUUCAAAUACCCAAGUUCAGAUUCGAUUUAUUUAAAAGCCCAAGCCCCAGGGACUCCAAUGUACUCACCGAGAUGGACGAGAGGACUAAAUAAAUAGCGAGCCUGACUAGAGCUUUGCUAAGUUUAAGGGGAUGAUGCUCGUUUGAUCGUCUGAUCCUCAUAACAACCCCAGAGGGAGGUGCUAACAUCCCUAUUUUAGAGAUGAAGAAAUGAGCUCCCUUAACUGGUGAGUGGAGAUGUCACCAUUCCACUCCAGGCAGUGUGAGCCCGGGACACACGCCGUCAGCGCCACACUGCACCACCUAGUGUACGCAGACGACACAGCUGGCCUCUAAUGUAGAACUCUGUUCCCUGAGAUUUACUGAUUGAGGUAAGACUCUUUCUAGAAAUAUCUCAUAAGUGGGUGAAAUCCAGUGCCCAUCCUUGAGUGGAGAUGUGCAACGGAAACACGCAACGUAUUCAUUGAAUGCGGAAUUAUCUCAGGAGCAAGGAUAAUUCACACCUUCCGAUAACUCAAUAACAAGGAAGGCUUCCUUAAAGAGCCUGACUUCCGCCAGUGUUUAUGUUUGUUUCCCUUCUAGCAAUGGGCACAAGUAGGCCGACAGUGUGCUGGGAAGACAUGGUGACUGAGAAAGCCUUUCUGAGUUUUAAAAUGUGUUAUGGUAAAUCCAGGGUGAAUAAUGAAGACCUCACUUGAAUUUCUGUAUUCUCUCUCCUUGUAGCCAAAUUUCACUGCCAUUCUUACCUGGGAAGCAAUCAAGUAGGGUUCUAUUUGGCAGUUGUCAUUUGUUGUUUUCAAUAGAAAGUUUGGCAGAUGGGUGAACUUCAGGCACUAUGGCUUAAUCUUUGGCAGACUGUCUUGUAUAACAUGCAUUCUAUAGAUUCUUUUCUUAAGAUGUGUGUUCUUCUUCCACACAGACUUCCUCCCCGGUUGUUACAGAUGGGAAAGGAGCAGUACGUAUAUCACUUAAAUGAUGGAGCCUCAGUUUGGUCAUUUAUAAAAUGGACAUAAUAAUGCUCUACUGUCUGGUGCAUUCGUUUUGAGGAUUAGAUAGCAUUUGAUAUAUGAACUGUCACCAAGCACAGAAUCUGGCUCAACUAUUAUUCUUAGGACCAACUCAGCUCAAAAGUGAGGGAUAAUGUGCAAAAUCACAGAUGGAUUUCACAAAUUGCUGAGCAAAAGAGGCUAGAAUCAGAAGAGUACAUACUUUCCAUUUGCAUCUAGAUGACAUUGAAAAACAGGCGAGUGAUUUCAGGAUGCUGGUUACACGUGCAGUGACUGGAAGGGAGCAAGAGGGGGCUUCUGGGGUGCUGGUAACAUUCUGUUUCUUCAUUUGGGUGCUGCUUACAUACAUGGGUCCAUCAUGUGAAAAGUCAUUCAGCUAUAUAUUUAUGAUUUACGUACUUUUCUGUAUGUAUGUUAUUCUUCAAUGAAAUCACCCUCCUUUCCCAAAAAGCGAAGGAGAAUCCAGCAUUAUAUGAGAGUUGCACAUUUAUAGGAAUUCUGCAAAUUAUCAUAUUUCUAGAUAAUCUGCAAAUCUGAAAACUUAUGCUGCUACAAGCAUGGCUCUUUCCACUCAGAUCAAAGCAAAGUGGGAAUUUGAAAAUUAAUUUGUUAAUGCAUUUAGUGUAAAUAAAUUUUAAAAUUCACAAAAACUUUUACUUUUUGCCAAACUGAUAGGUAAAAAUGGUAUCUAUCUGUUGCUUUGAACCGUAUCUCAGCUUUUCCUAUGUUGACGAGACACUGUAUUUCUGUUCCUAGGAAUGGCCUGUUCAUAUCCUUUGCCCAUUUUUCUACUGGAUUAUCACUCUUUUCCAAUGGCUUUAAACUAUGUCAAUUAAGUCCUAUGAAAAUGAGUCAUGUACAUUGAAAACAUGUUUUCACAGUAUUUCAUUAUCCUUUUGUUUUGUACAUGACACUUAGGGUCCACACAGGUUUUUGUUUUGUUUUAUUUUUAAUCAAUUGAGCUUUUCCUUUAUUCUUGGAGAACCUGACUCCGCUCUCUCUCUGCGCCAGGACUGUGGGCCCUCUCUCGGAUUAGCAGCAGGCAUCCCAUCCCUGGUGGCCACAGCCCUGCUGGUGGCUUUGCUAUUUACUCUGAUUCACCGAAGAAGAAGCAGCAAUGAGUCUGCCGAGGAAAGUGAGAGGCCAUGUGAAAUUUCAGAAAUCUAUGACAGUCCCAGGAUAGCUGAGAAUCCUAGGAGGGCACCCACACACGGGAAGAAUAUGAUGGGAUCUGAAGAAUCUCACAUAUAUGUGAAGACUGUAGCAGGAAGCGAGGAGCCCAUGCAUGACACUUACCGUCCUACUGAAGAAAUGGAGAGAAGAAGGGGAUUGUGGUGGCUUAUGCCCAGACUGAGCUUGGAAUGAUGUGGCUCAGCCAAAGAGCAGAUCUGGUGCUGGAACAGAGCUGAAAACCCAGGGAUUUAUGCUUGAGUGAGGAGAGAUGCCAAACUGCUUCUUAACCAAUCUCAAUUUCAUUGACAGAUCUGGAAAACUUUUGGGUUGAUUUGUCUCUUUAGGGAACAGAUCUGCAAAGGUUCAUUCCAACUCUCAGAUCUUGUGGUUUAAUAAGCAGUAAAGCACAAAGUGUGGUCACUGUGCAUCCAGAAGGAGCCUUUGGAUCCUGUUCCUGACCCCAGUGGGAAUUCGCUUUUCUUUGUGAUUUUGGGAAAGGGACUUGAUUUCUGAGUGUCUUGCCUUCUCAUCUUUUUUCACAUCCUUUUCCUCAAAAAAGUCAUCAGACCUGGAUUCCAUGGGAGAGUUGACCAAGGCCAACAUGGGGUACAAAUUGGGACAUAAAUGAAGCUUACAGGGAAUGUGCAAGGGGAAGCAGUUCCUUGUUUCUGAACAUCUCAGGGUAGAAAUCAUGUGGAACCACACAGUCCCUGACCACAGGUGCAGCAUGUGACUGGAUCAUUCAUUGCUCCACCUGGGUCUGUGAUCAGAGAGUAUUCAAGGAAGGCAAUUCUGCAAUGAACUGUGUGUGUGUUGAGGGUCAGUAGGGUAGAAGGAAGGCAGAGGUUUCGAAAGAUUAUUAGAAAUGAUGGCUAUAUCCAUUUUGUGGGAUUAGAGAGAAAGGUCCAAGUCCUUGGACUAUCAUGGGGAAAAACUCACCGGCAGGAAGAGAGAUCAAGAGGACUCUGAGUGGAUGAACACAGGACCAAAGGGGUGGGACAGGUAGUAAUGUGCCUGCCACCUGAGGGAAGCCCGUGGACAGCGUCAGCCAGCUGGAGGCAGGCCUUCACCAUUGCUUCUGUGAGGAAUCCUCCAGGAAUCCUGGUUCCUCCACAUAGGGCCAUUGCUCAUGAGUAGGCUGGGUUUCCUGGUGGGAGAACCUGGGUUCAGGACCUCUUGGGGUUCAUCCACCAGCUCCAUGCACCACCAUGAUAAGCUGUAGAAACAUUCCUUUCUCACACAGGACCUCUGAUUGCUCAGAAACACACCCCCUCUUCUUCAAAUAACCAAGAAUAGGUUCUACAAACUCAAUCACUGCCAUGUGCCAACACCUGAUUUUCAAAACCCCUUGUGAAAUUCAAUUUUGCGCUAAGUCCCCUAGGUCCAGUCACCUUGACAAGCAAAUGUGGCCAUUUUUAAGCAGAUGUGCCCAGUGAUCCAGGUGCUUGUACUUCUCUUACAUGUUGGGAAGGACCUUGAAUUUGCUGAGAACUUGACUGUGGCCUUGGUCUUGACACUUAUAAGUUCAAGCCCUGGGGCAAAUUGUUGACCCGCAGAAGCUUCGAUUCUUCCCUUACGAAAUGGAGAUAGCAGUUCUCAUCCUUCCACCCCCAGGGUGGUUGUGAGGAUUGAAACACGCAUGUGAAUAAAGCUUGUAGUCUAUAAGGUAAUGUGUGACUUGUAUUUUGGAUCAUUUAUUUUUAUUCCACUUAUAAUUCAUUGCUCAGAGUCUUUAUUUCAAAUUGUUUCUACUAAAAUAGCAAGAUUCAGUAUUCCUGUCAUUUUUUUUCCUGCUAUGAUGUGCAAGAACUUAUUUUGGAAUAAAGUGAAAAGUAAAAUGGUCAUUUUUAUAGACAUACAACACAUCUGUGGUUUCUCUUGGCCUAUAUUAAAGUCUAUGACAUUGGCCCUGGGGUUGGAAUCAAGGUUAUCCCGGGGAUUUUUCUGGUGCUGGCUCUCUCUGGGGCUGAUGAGGGAGGUGUUCAUUUCUUCAUUUAGGGCAGCCUGUGUUGUGGGAAACUACAGGGACCAGAAGUCAGAAGCUGUAGCUCUCUGACCCAGGGCUGGUACGAGCUUAGGGAUGACUCUGGGCCAGUCGCAUUUUAUCUCCUUUCUUCAUGUACCACUUGGUGUUUGGGUUGGCUUGUCUCUAAGGUUAACUCCACCCAGUUCAAACAUUCUAACUUUGAUUUUCCAAAUUCUGCAAAGUAGGGCCUCCCCUUCCGCCUCCCUGCUCACCGCUCCCGUCAGCACAGCCUUCUGGACCUUGCAAAGUCCUUCUCAGCUCUUGGCUUUGGAGGUGGAGAGAGAGACUUAUUUCUCCUGUAUCCUGCCAAUAGACAACAGUUUCACAUAGCUUUCCUUGUGGCAUUUAUCACUGCAAAAGCGUAAUGCCAAUUAAAGACAAAAAACAUGAAGAAUGACUAAUGUUUGAAGCAUUGUCUAUUUAUACGAUCUUGCACUCCCACCAUCCUGGUGGAAAUUAUUGAUUAAUGCAUGAGUUAAUUUAACAAAUGGGCAUUGGCUUCCCUCAUGUGUCAGACCAUCUGCCGGGUCCUAUGAUAAGAUUGGAGACAUAAUGAAGAGGCUAAAGGCAACUGGGCUUUCCAGGAAAUGUCUCUCUACCAAAUGAACAUGGAGUCUCCUAUCCACUCAAGGAAACACUAUUAGGAAAGCUUUCAUAGAGGUGCUUUCCUUCUAGACUCAAAGACACAAAACAGACUCUUUCUUCCUUCUGGGCUCAAAUGAAAGAAGAAUCUACACUCUCUUUUCUUCGUUUUCCUUUACCUGAAGUUGUAGAAGGAGAGAUGGGCCUGACCCUUCCUGCCGCAGGGCACUCCGAAUGACUGAAGACCGAAAAGCCUGGUUAUGUCAGGGAAUACCUCAAAAUGCUGUGCCUACAAGAGAAACUCAGAGAAGGCUCUCUCUCCUCCACUCUGUAAUGAGGCUACCUCAACUCCAAUAAGUCAAGAGGUGUCAAAAAUACCAAAAUUGGGCAUGUGAGAGUGGGGAAGAAUUUGUAAGAUGGCUGAGUCUGUCCCAUAGGCUAUAGGAAGAAUUUGAAAACUGAUGGCGGCCUUUGAAGGACAGGCCACGUGUAACUUGGGGCUUAAAACUGAUUUGUAAUGACGGUGAAUCCAGUUCUCACAGAGUUAUGUUUGUAAGACUAAAAUGGGUUGAAAGAUUUGGCUGUGAGCGAGAACAAACCAUGAUCAAAUAAUUCUACUGGAAAUACAACUGAUUCUGUGACAAGGAAUCAGACAGUGAUUAUUUUUUCCAUUUUAUUUAUUUUCUUUUUUUCAUUUUAAUUUUUGUUUUUAUAGUAGUAACAUUGGAUAACAUUAUGUAACUUUCAGAUGUACAUCAUAAUAUAUUUCAAAUUCUGUGUAGAUUAUAUCACGUUCACCCCGCAAAGACUAAUUAUAAUCCAUCACCACACAUUCGCCUAAUCACCCCUUUCACCCUCCUCCCUACCCGUUUCCCCUCUGGCAACCAUCAGUCCAAUCUCUGUUGCUAUGUGUUUGUUGUUGUUUUAUCUUCUACUUAUGAAUGAGAUCAUAUGGCACUUGACUUUCUCCCUCUGACUUAUUUCACUUAGCAUAAUUCCCUCAAGGUCUACCCAUGUUGUCACAAAUGGCUGGAUUUCAUCCUUUCUUAUGGCUGAGUAGUAUUCCAUUGUGCACGUAUACCACAUCUUAUUUAUCCAUUUGUCCCUUGAUGGGCACCUAGGUUGCUUCCAAGUCUUGGCUAUUGUGAACAAUGCUGUGACAAACAUAGGGGUGCAUGUAUCUUUAUGCAUUUGUGCUUUCAAGUUCUUUGGAUAAAUACUAGGCAGUGGACUAGCUGGAUCAUAUGGUAGAUCUAUUCUUAAUUUUCUGAGGAGACUCCAUCCUGUUUUCCAUAGUGGCUGCACCAGUUAAAAUGUCCGUACUUCCUAAAGCAGUCUAUAGAUUCAAUGAAUCCCUAUCAAAGUUCCAACAACAUUUUUCACAGAAAUAGAACAAAGAAUCCUAAAAUUUAUAUAGAACAACAAAAGACCCCGAAUAGCCAAAGGAAUCCUGAGGAAAAAGAACAAAGCUGGAGGUAUCACACUCCCUGAUUUCAAAAUAUACUACAAAGCUAUAGUAACCAAAACAGCAUGGCACAAAAACAGACACACAGAUCAAUGGAACAGAAUCAAGAGCCCAGAAACAAACCCACACAUUUAUGGACAGCUAAUUUUAGACAAGGGAGCCAAGAGCAUACAAUGGAUAAAGGAGAGUCUCUUCACUAAAUGAUGUUGGGAAAACUGGACAGCCACAUGCAACAGACGGUGAUUAUUGCUGACUCACUGGACCAGGGAUUAUCCAUUUAUGAAGGCCAAGGUAAGACUGUGUGUUUUUGUCUUGAGAGCAAGAGAAAGCCUUGUUUGUGUCCCCUUCCUUCUAGUUCCCGCUGCUCUAACCAUAUGGGCCUCCUCUCUGCCCCUCAGAUGCCAUGGUCCCACCAGCAACACAGGCUUCCUCUCUGCUCCCCAGGCACUGGGAUCUUCCAGCUGUAAGGGCUUUCUCUCUGCUCAUUUGAUGCUAUGGUCCCUCCUGCCACAUGGGCCUUCUCUCUGCUUUUCAGACAACACAGCCUUCCACAUAUGGCCUUUGCACAUGCUGUUGAUGAGACAGAGCAGGCAGUCCAGGGAGGCCAAGGUCAACAGAAUUUAUAGGACAGAGGAGAGGAGGGAGUUGCAUGGAGACAGAACUCAGAGAUCUGUAGAGGAUUCUUCUUGAAUGUCUGACUGAGUAUUGAUCAGCACAUGCAUGUGAGGAAACUACCCAAGGCUGAGACAAGAACCACUCAAACUGUAUUAGUUUCUAAUACAGUUUUACAUUGUUCCCAGACAGCCAGAGUAGAAAACAUCAUAAUUCACCAGGCAUCAAGUAGAGUAGUAAGAAAAGUACUGCCUCAGUAGUG
ensembl:lncRNA